AUAACUGGAAGGCAGAGUACUCUUUUCAGGCCUGUCUGCGUAACUGAAAAUGCAGACUUCAGCCUGGGCAGGCAAAAUAUGAAAAAUUGUUCCAAAUCAACAUGUAGCUUUCUGCCCAGACUAGAGAAAAGUAUCUUUUCCUCAGUGGCUUCAAAGCAGCAGCUGCCUCUGAGCAGGCCCGAGAGAUCAGUGAAGGAUUUAUACAGGAGACCCUUCAUAUGACACUGGACUGGGCUGCAAACCUUUGCAAAGGACAUGAUGGAAUUCCAGAAAAAUAGGACCAUGAUAGUUCCAUGAGGAUUGAAAAGAUGGAUCCUCAAGCAUAUUGGCCUGUGAUGUCUUAGUCAUGAAUUGGAGAAUUUUAUUACCUGAAGGGAAGGAAAAUUCUUUUACCACUUCUGACCAAGUUAUAUGUUAAGUAACGAUCUUCAUUUCUUAGCACAGAAAGAGCAAUGGCUUGGCCUAUAUUAUUAUUAUCAUCAGCAUUAGCCAAAAAGAAGAUCAAAGAACCAACAGAAUUAAUAAAAGACACAGAGCAUUUGAUUAUUUGGUUCUCAUUGUGUCUACUGAUGACCGUGUGCAGAAAUAAAGCCUGAAAGAGCACCUGUGACUUCCUCUGAUGUGACUUUUGAAAAUCAGUCAUGACUUCAAGGAGAUCUCAAAUAUGAAUAUUUUUUAAGAAGAAAGUUUCAAUUCCACAUAAAUUUGUCAUUGUCCCACUUCUCUUGAGGUUUUGCUUCUGACAUUCCUGUUACACAUCUGCAAAAGGAUUCAACUGCAGGCUCAUGCAGUAAUAGAGUAAGACAUGGAAUAUAUACAUAUUAUCCCUCCUUCUAUUACAGCCAGAUUCAGUAGCCUGGAUCUCAGGAUGUGGAGUGACACGUUUGGAUUGUGACUAUUUUGCCUUGUGGUGAAUAUCGAAAUAAUUUGUGUUAUCUAAUGUGGCAUCCAGAUUUGACAGGUAUGCUGUAUUUCUCAGGGAGGAUUUGGUUUGUGUAACUACAUGUAGCAUGCCCAUCUCAUCUUUCCACUAUCAGAUGGGGCUCCUGUAGCUCUUGUGCCACCAAACCCAUGUGGGUGUCCUAGAUGCCCUGUAGAUUCCCAAACCACACUGGAGAUCCGACACAAAGCCUUCAGAGAGCAAGAACCAAUGUUCACCCCAGGCUUCAGAAAGGGUCAUGACUCGAAGUCAUGUAUGCCUUUUUACCAGCUUAAAUGAUUAUUAACCCUAGGACAGCUUCUGCAUCCACAAAGCCAUCAUGCUAGAAGGGAAAAAUGUAUCUACCCUUUGCAAAAAGUCCUGCAAGCAACACUACCUGCUGGCUCUUAGAUCUGAGGAGGAGCAGGACAUAGGAGCUUUGAAUAAAGAUUUACUUACAGAAAAAAAUAUUAGCAGAAAAAAAGCUAACACAAAGCCAAGGUUAACUGAAACAUAUAAUUAAACUUUCCAUUUACUUUAAUAAAAUACAAUAUUGACUUUGCUCUUUAAAGUAGAUUAGGUUGUUGACAUUACAGCAGUAUAAUAAACAAACUGCUAAGCUUUUUACUAGCAGAACAGAAAAUUAAAACUGGUUAUGACAAGCCAAAUAAAAUGAGUUUAUUCAGGGCUGUAUAAAUCAUCAAUAAGAAUUCCUAAUCACUUGCCUCCAAAAAGCUAGAUUAUUUGAUCUGCAACAAAACUGGGGCUGUGUCAGCAAGUUGGAUGCAAAUCAAACAACAUUCAGACAUCUCAAAAAUUCUGGAAAUAUGUGUCUGGAAUACAGAUGAAGGCCAGAAAUUCAGUGAGGCCAUCUUAGGGUUGUGGAAGAAUAAAUGAAAGCUGUUUUUUACUCAGAGAUGUGGCUAUUGAAACAGUAAUCUCUCAUCAGCAUGAUGUAUCACAGCUUAAACAUCAUUCCUGACUUUCUGGUUUUAUUUUCUGUGUAUGUUUUAACAAAGACUUUUCUUUGUUUGAUGCAUGCAUUUUAUAUAUAGUACAGUACAAAGCUAAACUGUUCAUUUUGAUGCUUUAUCAUAUUGUAUUGCUUUUUAAUACAAAACCACAUGGUUCCUGAAAAAGUCUACUAUAAUUUAAGGCUUGCAAAGCAUGAUAGCAUUCUUUGAUGCAUGUAUUUUAUAUACAAAGUCUUAUCGUAAUGUUUGCGAUCAAUAA
ensembl:lncRNA